rnacentral:rRNA from 1 species
AUUGAACGCUGGCGGCAGGCCUAACACAUGCAAGUCGAACGAGCGGCGGACGGGUGAGUAAUGUCUGGGAAACUGCCUGAUGGAGGGGGAUAACUACUGGAAACGGUAGCUAAUACCGCAUACUAUCGGAUGUGCCCAGAUGGGAUUAGCUUGUGGGUGGGGUAAAGGCUCACCAAGGCGACGAUCCCUAGCUGGUCUGAGAGGAUGACCAGCCACACUGGAACUGAGACACGGCCCAGACUCCUACGGGAGGCAGCAGUGGGGAAUAUUGCACAAUGGGCGCAAGCCUGAUGCAGCCAUGCCGCGUGUAUGAAGAAGGCCUUAGGGUUGUAAAGUACUUUCAGCGGGGAGGCGUUACCCGCAGAAGAAGCACCGGCUAACUCCGUGCCAGCAGACGCGGUAAUAC